rnacentral:rRNA from 1 species
AGGGUUUGAUUAUGGCUCAGGAUGAACGCUGGCGGCGUGCUUAACACAUGCAAGUCGAACGAUUAACCCUUCUUCGGAAGGUCAUAAAGUGGCGAACGGGUGAGUAACACGUGACCAACCUGCCUCUCACAUUGGGAUAACUUAGAGAAAUCUAAGCUAAUACCAAAUACUCUUGAUCUGCCGCAUGACAGACCAAGGAAAGCUUUCGCGGUGAGAGAUGGGGUCGCGGCCCAUUAGGUAGUUGGUGGGGUAGAGGCCUACCAAGCCGAUGAUGGGUAGCCGGGUUGAGAGACCGACCGGCCACAUUGGGACUGAGAUACGGCCCAG